rnacentral:rRNA from 1 species
GAGAAAGUAAGCAAGGGCAGACGGUGGAUGCCUUGGCUCUCGGAGGCGACGAAGGACGUGAUAAGCUGCGAAAAGCUCGGGGGAGGCGCAAAUAGCCGUUGAUCCCGGGAUAUCCGAAUGGGGCAACCCGGCAGGCUGAAGGCCUGCCAUCCCGUAAGGGAGGCGAACGUGGGGAACUGAAACAUCUAAGUACCCAUAGGAGGAGAAAAUAAACAAUGAUUCCGUAAGUAGUGGCGAGCGAACACGGAAGAGCCCAAACCCAUGUCGUCUAGGCGACACGGGGGUUGUAGGACCACGACGUGGCAAGAUAGAGCCAAGUGGAACGCCUUGGAAAAGGCGGUCAUAGAGGGUGAAAACCCCGUACACGACUGACGAUUGAAGCCUAGUGGCAUCCUGAGUAGCGCGGGGCACGAGAAAUCUUGCGUGAAACAGCGGGGCCCAUCCCGUAAGGCUAAAUACUCCCGAGAGACCGAUAGCGAACCAGUACCGUGAGGGAAAGGUGAAAAGAACCCCGAGCAGGGGAGUGAAAUAGACCCUGAACCCGUCUGCCUACAAGCGGUCGGAGCAUAGCAAUAUGUGACGGCGUGCCUUUUGCAUAAUGAACCUACGAGUUACCUUCCCCGGCAAGGUUAAGUACCUAAGGUACGGAGCCGAAGCGAAAGCGAGUCUGAAGAGGGCGGCCAGUCGGGGGGGUAGACGCGAAACCGAGUGAUCUACCCUUGGCCAGGUUGAAGGUUGGGUAACACCAACUGGAGGACCGGAUGGGUAAGCGUUGAAAAGCUUUCCAAUGAGCUGAGGGUAGGGGUGAAAGGCUAAUCAAACUCGGAGAUAGCUCGUACUCCCCGAAAUGCAUUUAGGUGCAGCCUCUUUAUAGUAUAUCGUGAGGUAGAGCGACUGAUUGGAUGCGAGGGCUUCACCGCCUAUCAAGUCCAGAUAAACUCCGAAUGCGCGAUAUAUAUUUAAAGGGAGUGAGGGCGCGGGUGCUAAGGUCCGUGUCCGAGAGGAGAAGAAUCCAGACCACCGGCUAAGGCCCCCAAAUGAUCGUUGAGUUGAACUAACGAGGUCGGAUCGCAGAGACAGCUAGGAUGUUGGCUUGGAAGCAGCCAUUCAUUUAAAGAGUGCGUAACAGCUCACUAGUCGAGCGAUCUGGCGUGGAUAAUAAUCGGGCAUAAACGAUCUGCCGAAGCCGUGGAUGUCGUAAGACAUGGUAGGGGAGCAUUCCAUGGGUGUCGAAGAUGAGGGAUGACCCUUGUUGGAGCGCAUGGAAAAGCAAAUGUAGGUAUGAGUAACGAUAAGGGGGGCGAGAAACCCCCCGCCGAAAGACCAAGGUUUCCUGAUCAACGCUAAUCGGAUCAGGGUGAGUCGGGACCUAAGGCAAAGCCGAACGGCGCCGCCGAUGGAAGAAUGGGUUAAUAUUCCCAUACUGCCUCAUGGAGUGACGUGGAGACGGAGAAGUGACAGUCCUGCCGGCUGACGGAAUAGCCGGUUGAAGGGUGUAGGAGUCGAUCAUGGUAGGCAAAUCCGCCGUGAGAUCCGAACCUGAGAGUAUACCGAGUACUUGUACGAGGUAAUAUGGACGUAACCAUGCUCCCAAGAAAAUCCGCUAAACUUAUCCAUGCGGCACCCGUACCGUAAACGGACACACGUGGUCGGGUUGAGAAUACUGAGGCGCUCGAGUGACUCACGGUUAAGGAACUAGGCAAAUUGACCCUGUAACUUCGGGAUAAAGGGUCCUCGUCGUAAGGCGAGGCGCAGAGAAUAGGUCCAGGCAACUGUUUAACAAAAACACAUGGCUGUGCUAAAUGGAAACAUGACGUAUACAGCCUGACACCUGCCCGGUGCUGGAAGGUUAAGAGGAGAUGUCAUCGCAAGAGAAGCGUUGAAUUGAAGCCCCAGUAAACGGCGGCCGUAACUAUAACGGUCCUAAGGUAGCGAAAUUCCUUGUCGGGUAAGUUCCGACCUGCACGAAUGGUGUAAUGAUCUGGACACUGUCUCAACCGUGAGCUCGGUGAAAUUGUAGUAUCGGUGAAGAUGCCGAUUACCCGCGAUGGGACGAAAAGACCCCGUGAACCUUUACUAUAGCUUUACAUUGAGUUUGGGCAGACGAUGUGUAGGAUAGGCCGGAGGCUUUGAAGGGGGUACGCCAGUAUCCUUGGAGCCGCCGUUGAAAUACGGCCCUUCGGUUGUUUGAGUUCUAACUCCCGGAUGGGAGGACACUGUAUGGUGGGUAGUUUGACUGGGGUGGUCGCCUCCAAAAGCGUAACGGAGGCUUCUAAAGGUGCCCUCAGACCGAUUGGUAACCGGUCGCAGAGUGUAAUGGCAUAAGGGCGCUUGACUGGGAGAGAUACAACUCGAUCAGGUAGGAAACUAGAGCAUAGUGAUCCGGUGGUUCCGCAUGGAAGGGCCAUCGCUCAAAGGAUAAAAGGUACUCCGGGGAUAACAGGCUGAUCAUUCCCAAGAGCUCAUAUCGACGGAAUGGUUUGGCACCUCGAUGUCGGCUCGUCACAUCCUGGGGCUGGAGAAGGUCCCAAGGGUUGGGCUGUUCGCCCAUUAAAGUGGCACGCGAGCUGGGUUCAGAACGUCGUGAGACAGUUCGGUCUCUAUCUAUCGUGGGCGCAGGAGAUUUGAGGGGCUCUGACACUAGUACGAGAGGACCGUGUUGGACGUACCACUGGUUUACCGGUUGUCCCGCCAGGGGCACCGCCGGGUAUCUAAGUACGGAUCGGAUAAGUGCUGAAAGCAUCUAAGUACGAAGCCGGCCUCAAGAUUAGAUCUCCCUGAAGGGUGGUUAUAGACGAUGACCUUGAUAGGCCACAGGUGUAAGGGCGGCGACGUCCGAGCCGAGUGGUACUAAUAGCCCGGGACUUUCCUCA